rnacentral:lncRNA from 10 species
GGGUUCCGCUUGACUCUGCAUUCUCCUACUUCCCUGCCUGCUUACUCUCUGCCAUCAUAGUUUUUUGCUUCAACCUUCAAAUGUAGCCAUUCUUUUUCUAAAGCGGUACUUAUUCUCUUUAUUAGUUAAAAUUAUUAAUUUUAUGCACUUACUGUUCUAGCUCCAAUUUUGCAUUUCCAGUUCCCUGCUGGGAAUAAAUUAAAUUGGCAGAAGCUCAGUCUAAGUGCCUGCAACAGAAUUUGUCCCAUAUCCAUACAACUUGCUCCUCCACAACAAAUGGGAGAAUCAUCCUCUUACCUCCAGGCUGUGAUGGAGGAGAAGCUACCCCUCAGCACAGGAUUUUGGUAGAAUAAGAAUAAAAAUGACAAGUCCCUUCCUGAAAAGCUCUUCAUUGUCUCUUGAAAACGGUCUGUGAAAGUGCCAAACCACCAGCUCUCCAGAUGUGGCUGAAUAUCAAGCAAAACAAAAUAUGUGGAAGGUAAUAGAAGAAUAGAAACGGAUUUCAGAGUAAACUAAGACUGCUCUCUAUGGUGAUUUAAUACUUCAGCCUGUUUAAAACAUCCUUUUAACACCUGUUUUUUGGUUUUGGUUUUGUUUUGUUCUGUUUUGUCUACUUUAACUCAAAUUCCCUAUCAGCUUUUCCUUCAUAAGAAAACAUUUCAGAAAA